GAUGAACGCUAGCGAUAGGCCUAACACAUGCAAGUCGAGGGGCAUCACAUGAAGUAGCAAUACGGAUGGUGGCGACCGGCGCACGGGUGAGUAACACGUAUGCAACCUGCCUUCAACAAGGGGAUAACCCGUUGAAAGACGGACUAAUACCCUAUAACACAGGGGUCCCGCAUGGGAAUAUUUGUUAAAGGACAACCGGUUGAAGAUGGGCAUGCGUUCCAUUAGCUAGUUGGCGGGGUAACGGCCCACCAAGGCAACGAUGGAUAGGGGAACUGAGAGGUUUAUCCCCCACACUGGUACUGAGACACUGCCCAGACUCCUACGGGAGGCAGCAGUAGGGAAUUUUCGGCAAUGGGGGAAACCCUGACCGAGCAAUGCCGCGUGAACGAUGAAGGUCUUCGGAUUGUAAAGUUCUGUGAUUGGGGAAGAAUGGUAUUCUUAGGGAAUGAGGAGUACAUGACGGUACCCGAUUAGAAAGCCCCGGCUAACUAUGUGCCAGCAGCCGCGGUAAAU
rnacentral:rRNA from 1 species